GCGGAUUUAGCUCAGUUGGGAGAGCGUCAGACUGAAGUUCAAUCUGAAGGUCGUGUGUUCGAUCCACACAAGCCGCA